rnacentral:lncRNA from 1 species
UUGUUUUUCCCAUUGUAUUUUCCCAUUUUUCCCAUUGUUUUUCCCGUUGUUUUUCCCAUUGUUUUUUCCCAUUGUUGUUUUUCCCAUUGUUUUUCCCACUGUUUUUCCCGCUGUUGUUUUUUCCCGAUUUUCCCGCUGUUGUUUUUCUCAUUGUUGUUUUUCCCAUUGUUGUUUUUCCCGCUGUUGUUUUUUCCCAAUUUUCCCAUUGUCUUUUCCCAUUGUUGUUUUUCCCAUUGUUGUUUUUCCCAUUGUUGUUUUUCUCAUUGUUGUUUUUCCCGCUGUUGUUUUUUCCCGAUUUUCCCACUGUUGUUUUUCCCAUUGUUUUAUUCCCGCUGUUGUUUUAUUCCCGCUGUUGUUUUUCCCGCUGUUGUUUUUCCGGCUGUUUCUCACCGAUCCAUUUGUCGUUGUUGUACCAGGACAGGUUGUCCUUGGUGCUGUCGUAGUACCCGAUCUUCUUGUACACCCCACCUGCGCACGGGUGACAAGGGACAGGUGACACCGGGACAGGUGACACCGGGACAGGUGACACCGGGACAGGUGACACUGGGACAGGUGAGAAUGGACAGGUGACAAUGGACAGGUGACACCGGGACAGGUGACACCGGGACAGGUGACAAUGGACAGGUGACACCGGGACAGGUGACACUGGGACAGGUGACACCGGGACAGGUGACACUGGGACAGGUGAGAAUGGACAGGUGACACCGGGACAGGUGACACCGGGACAGGUGAGAAUGGACAGGUGACACCAGGACAGGUGACAAUGGACAGGUGACACCGGGACAGGUGACACUGGGACAGGUGACACCGGGACAGGUGACACCUUGAGGACACCAGGACAGGUGACACUGGGAUGGGUGACACCUUGGGGACAAUGGACAGGUGACACCAGACAGGUGACACCGGGACAGGUGACACUGGGACAGGUGACACCGGGACAGGUGAGAAUGGACAGGUGACACCUUGGGGACAAUGGACAGGUGACAAUGGACAGGUGACACCUUGGGGACACCAGGACAGGUGACAAUGGACAGGUGACACCGGGACAGGUGACACCGGGACAGGUGACAAUGGACAGGUGACACUGGGACAGGUGGCACCGGGACAGGUGACAAGGGACAGGUGACAAGGGACAGGUGACAAUGGACAGGUGACACCGGGACAGGUGGCACCGGGACAGGUGACAAAGGACAGGUGACACCUUGAGGAGAAUGGACAGGUGACACCAGGACAAGUGACAAUGGACAGGUGACAAUGGACAGGUGACACCUUGGGGACACCAGCACAGGUGACACCAGGGGGUGGCACCGGUGGCACUUGAGGACAUCCAUGGGUGGUGGAGCCAGAGGGGGUUGGUGUCACCUGAAGGUCCCUGAAUGUCACCCAAA